GUGUAAGAAAGAUCAGAGUGAUGAAAAAAUCACAAAGUGUUAAGACAGGCGAGGUUUGUUCGUCUCCCGCUUGUCUAAACAUCACAGUUUAACCGCAACCAAUGAGCUGUUAGAGAGCGAGAGAGAAACAUUCCACUGACGUGGACCAAUCAGAUUAAAGAACACACAACCGCAUGAAAGAGCUUCAGCAGCAUGAGCCGCUCAGCACCAGUGUCUGAGAUGGAGACAUCAAGAGUCGCUCUCAUCGCUCUCGUGUGUGUUGUGUUCUCCAGUCAGAAGAGGAUCUCUGGAGCAGAAGUGGAGCUGAGAUUCAGAUGAGGAGACGACAUCACUCUCUACUCCAACUGUGUUUGGAAAAGUGGAUUUUUGACAGUGUGGUUUAGAAACUGCUCACAUCAGAAUCACCCUCGUUUCAUGAUGUUAACUCAAAAUUUGAUGCGUGAUGUUUCUCCACAUUACUCGUUUGUGUUUAACGGCUCCACCAACACACACAAUCUCCUGAUUAAGAACAUCACAGAAUCAGAUCUGGGCCUGUACUACUGCCUUAUACAUGAGAAAAGAGUUUCAGAUUCAAAACAUGGCCCCAUAGUUCAGAGUGCUGUGUAUUAUUAUGGAAACAGAUCCAUUCGACUCCCUCUCCUCGAAUCCUGUCCCAGUGUGUGUGACCUGUGUGUAUCAGAGUGGAGUGGAGUGGAGUCACCCAGGCUUAUGGCGUUGGCUAUAAGCCCGGGUGCAGUAUCAACAAUUAAAGAAAAAUAAAACAAGAAAAGGAAAGUUUUUAUUUUAU